rnacentral:lncRNA from 1 species
UAUCUCCAGUAUAUGUUCCAGGUUAAGGUCAAGAAGAAAAUGUAAUGCAUUAAUGUAUUCUCACACACACAUACAUGCAAACACCACAUAUUCACACACACCUGCACUGAACACACAGCUCCACAACACAUCACACACACUACUUAUUACACACACGGCAAACCUAGAACAAUUAAUUCCGAUGGUGGUGAGCAGUGAAGCGAAUGUUGAAUGAAUGAUAUGAGAACAGAUGUCCUGAUUGGGGUUUCUCUCUAGUCCCAGGAGCCCCACAGGAUGUGCUGCUGGUCGAAGAGGAUGUGACCUCAUCAGUGUUUGUGAGCUGGGGAGCCCCAGCAGGGGGCGUGGAGGGGUACAAGCUGCUGUUGUGUCCGUCAGGGGACAAGUCGUCAUGUCGUGAGAUGGUGGUUCAUAGCAACAGUCUCCAGGUUGGAGGUUUGACCCCAGGAUCAGAUUAUGACAUCACCGUCCUGAGCCUGCUGGUAUCAGACUUCAGCCAGCCUGUCACUACACAGUUCUCCACACGUCCGGCCGGUGUGUGUUCCCUCUCUCUGCUCUAUGUUAACUCUUCCUGUGCCGUGGUGAGGUGGGACGCUGCCAUUGGCCAGUUUGACUUCCACAGGGUAACUGUUGGAAAUGGCUCGCAAACACAUACGAUAGAGGUCUCCAAGGAGAGGCAGGUUGCUACAGUAACUGGGUUGAGGGAUGGCUGUAUGUACAACAUGAGCGUGGAGCACAUUAGACGAGGAGAGGCAGGGACAGCUGCCUCCCUGACUGUAACCACAGGUACCUGAGUGUAACACAAAACUACAUUAAUGUGACCACAACUUCCCUGAUUUUAAGCAUGGGUUUAAGCAGGGGUCUCUCAAUAAGAUAUACAUGUGCAUAAAAUAUUUCUCUCUCUCUCUGUGUCCCUCCAUCUCUCCCCCCCUCUCGUUUUAUCUUUCUCUCUCUCUGUAUCCCUUAGUGCCGGGCCGUGUGCGGGGUGUAAAUGUGGUUAGUGUGUCUGCUCAGAACUUCUCUCUGCGUUGGGACCAGUCAGAGGGGUGUGUGGACCAGUACCUCGUCAGCCUGCUGCCCAACCAAGGAACUGUCUCUGUCUACCGCACACACGACAGACUCGUACAGGUACACACACACACACACGGAAGCUAUUACACAGUAGAUGUUAUCAGUAGAAGUGGAGACAGGAGUUA